GGGGCACUCACGGAAGAGUUCUCCAACGGAACGCGUCAGGGAUGUCCCCUGUCGCCACUACUUUUUAUCCUAGCGUUGGAACCCUUUCUGACACACAUAAGAGGCCACCCAGACAUCACGGGAGUCCAAAUGUUAGAUACUCACCAUAAAAUAGCCGCCUACGCGGAUGAUCUCCUGUUUUUCAUAACGCACCCGGAGAUCUCCCUACCCAACCUUCUUCGGGCAUUCCGGACAUUCGAGAAAUUAU